CUCGAUGGUAGUGUAUUGGACUACCAUGGCUUUCACGGGUAACGGAGAAUUAGGGUUCGAUUCCGGAGAAGGAGCCUGAGAAACGGCUACUACAUCUAAGGAAGGCAGCAGGCGCGUAAAUUACCCAAUCCUGACUCAGGGAGGUAGUGACAAGAUAUAACGACGCGAUUUUAAAUCGUGAUUGUAGUGAGGGUAUUCCAAACCGAACUUCGAGUACGAUUGGAGGGCAAGUCUGGUGCCAGCAGCCGCGGUAAUUCCAGCUCCAAUAGCGUAUAUUAAAGUUGUUGCAGUUAAAAAGCUCGUAGUUGGAUUUCAAGGUGGAGGUGAGGAAACUCGCCGAAGCUUAUCAGUCCGAAAGGACUGUUACUGUGAGAAAAUUAGAGUGUUUCAAGCAGGCUAUUGCAGGAAUACAUUAGCAUGGAAUAACGAAUGUGUCUAGAAUCUUGGUUAAUUCUAGAUUACGAUUAAUAGGGACAGUUGGGGGCAUUAGUAUUUAAUUGUCAGAGGUGAAAUUCUUGGAUUUGUUAAAGACUAACGUAUGCGAAAGCAUUUGCCAAGGAUGUUUUCAUUAAUCAAGAACGAAAGAUUGGGGAUCAAAGACGAUCAGAUACCGUC
rnacentral:rRNA from 1 species